rnacentral:rRNA from 1 species
GACGAACGCUGGCGGCGUGCCUAAUACAUGCAAGUCGAGCGAAUCUCAGGGAGCUUGCUCCCAAAGGUUAGCGGCGGACGGGUGAGUAACACGUGGGCAACCUGCCUAUAAGACUGGGAUAACUUCGGGAAACCGGAGCUAAUACCGAAUAAUACUUUUCUACUCAUGUAGGGAAGCUGAAAGACGGUUUCGGCUGUCACUUAUAGAUGGGCCCGCGGCGCAUUAGCUAGUUGGUGAGGUAACGGCUCACCAAGGCGACGAUGCGUAGCCGACCUGAGAGGGUGAUCGGCCACACUGGGACUGAGACACGGCCCAGGCUCCUACGGGAGGCAGCAGUAGGGAAUCUUCCGCAAUGGACGAAAGUCUGACGGAGCAACGCCGCGUGAGUGAUGAAGGUUUUCGGAUCGUAAAACUCUGUUGUUAGGGAAGAACAAGUACCAGAGUAACUGCUGGUACCUUGACGGUACCUAACCAGAAAGCCACGGCUAACUACGUGCCAGCCGCCGCAGUAA